rnacentral:rRNA from 1 species
UGGGGAAUAUUGCGCAAUGGGGGAAACCCUGACGCAGCCACGCCGCGUGCGGGAUGAAGGCCUUCGGGUUGUACACCGCUUUUGAUUGGGAGCAAGCCUUUUGGGUGAGUGUCCCUUUCGAAUAAUCGCCGGCUAACUACGUGCCAGCAGCCGCGGCAAUACGUAGGGCGCAAGCGUUAUCCGGAAUUAUUGGGCGUAAAGAGCUUGUAGGCGGUUCGUCGCGUCUGGUGUGAAAGCCCAUCGCUUAACGGUGGGUUUGCGCCGGGGACGGGCGGGAUAGAGUGCAGUAGGGGAGACUGGAAUUCCCAGUGUAACAGUGGAAUGUGUAGAUAGCGGGAAGAACACCAAUGGCGAAGGCAGGUCUCUGGGCUGUUACUGACGCUGAGGAGCGAAAGCGUGGGGAGCGAACAGG